CUUCAUCGUUUACGGUGUGGACUACCAGGGUAUCUAAUCCUGUUUGCUCCCCACACUUUCGCACCUCAGCGUCAGUAUCGAGCCAGUGAGCCGCCUUCGCCACUGGUGUUCCUCCAAAUAUCUACGAAUUUCACCUCUACACUUGGAAUUCCACUCACCUCUCUCGAACUCAAGACUAGGAGUUUUAAAGGCAGUUCCAGGGUUGAGCCCUGGGAUUUCACCUCUAACUUUCUAAUCCGCCUACGUGCGCUUUACGCCCAGUAAUUCCGAACAACGCUAACCCCCUCCGUAUUACCGCGGCUGCUGGCACGGAGUUAGCCGGGGUUUCUUUACCAGGUACUGUCAUUAUCAUCCCUGGCGAAAGAGCUUUACGACCCUAAGGCCUUCUUCACUCACGCGGCAUGGCUAGAUCAGGCUUGCGCCCAUUGUCUAAGAUUCCCCACUGCUGCCUCCCGUAGGAGUCUGGGCCGUGUCUCAGUCCCAGUGUUGCUGAUCAUCCUCUCAGACCAGCUACAGAUCGUCGCCUUGGUGAGCCAUUACCCCACCAACUAGCUAAUCUGACUUGGGCUCAUCCAAUAGCGCAAGGUCCGAAGAUCCCCUGCUUUCUCCCGUAGGACGUAUGCGGUAUUAGCGUGCGUUUCCACACGUUAUCCCCCACUAUUGGGCAGAUUCCCAAGCAUUACUCACCCGUCCGCCGCUCUACUCACACCGAAGUGUUUUCGCGCUCGACUUGCAUGUGUUAGGCCUGCCGCCAGCGUUCAAUCUGAGCCAGGAUCAAACUCU
rnacentral:rRNA from 1 species